rnacentral:rRNA from 1 species
UGGCGACCGGCGCACGGGUGAGUAACGCGUAUCCAACCUGCCCUUUACUAUGGGACAGCCCGUCGAAAGGCGGAUUAAUACCGUAUGUUGUCAUGUUGAUGCAUAUUUCCAUGACCAAAGGCUUCGGCCGGUAAAGGAUGGGGAUGCGUCUGAUUAGCUUGCCGGCGGGGUAACGGCCCACCGGGGCGACGAUCAGUAGGGGUUCUGAGAGGAAGGUCCCCCACAUUGGAACUGAGACACGGUCCAAACUCCUACGGGAGGCAGCAG